GUGGAGUCUUGCUCUGUCAUCCAGGCUGGCAGUGGCGUGGUCUUGGCUCACUGCAACGUCUGCCUUCUGGGUUCAAGUGAUUCUCCUGCCUCAGCCUCCUGAGUAGCUGGGACUACAGGCGCCCACCACCAUGCCCUGCUGUUUUGUAUUUUUGAGAAAUGGAAUAAUUGUAUCGCUCAUCUACGUAAACAAAUUGAAGAAUUGUCUGAAAGAAAAUAUGCUCGAGCUGUAAAAGCCAAAGGUCCGGUGAUGAUCCCAUACCCUUUUUUCCAGUCUGAUGUUGAAGAUUUUUAUGUAGAAGGCCUUCCCAAAGGAAUUUUUUUUUUCUUUUUUUUUGAGAUGGAGUUUUCAUUCUUAUCGCCCAGGCUGGGGUGCAAUGGCGCAACCUUGCUGGUCACUGCAACCUCUGCCUCCUGGGUUCAAGAAAUUCUCCUGCCUUAGCCUCCCAAGUCGCUGGGAUUACAGGUGCCCACCACCACACCAGGCUAAUUUUUGUAUUUUUAGUGGAGAUGGGGUUUCACCAUGUUGGCGAGGCCAGUCUCGAACUGACGUCAAGUGAUCUUCCCGCCUCGGCCUCCCAGAGUGCUGAGAUUACAGAUGUGAACCCAUGCCAGUCCAGGAAUUUUGUUUUUUAGGAAGGCUUUCUACUAAUGGAAUUCCUGGCCUUGAGAGGAUAUUACUUUCGACGGAAAGGAUUUUUUUGUUAUUAAAAGAGCCACCUAAGCUGAAGAUUCCCUUGAGAACAAGUACUGUCCUGCGGUUUCAUGGCCUUUCUUCCAUUUGUGGUUCUUGCGAAGUGGAAUUUAAAUGAUAUCUUAUCAAGAUGGAUAAACCCUAGUUUCCCAGUGCUGGAAUAUAGAAAAUGGAUGGACAAGUAAAUCCCACUCAGCACCCAUAGUCCAGGCAUGGGGACCUCAACACACCUGAGCCCCAGACAUCACCUUUCAUUCUGGACCUACCAUGAAAGACUUCUGAAUCCAGGAAGAGAAACUGACUGGGCAACAUGUUAUUCGGGUACAAAAAGACUUGGACUGUAACUCAAAAAUGAUCAAAUAAUAGUGCAUGCAUCAAGUGCAAUCGGAAGCUCUUCUGGAGAGGGAGAGAAGCUUCCAGUUAAGGUGACAUUGCAGCCAAGUCCUGUAAGAUAAGGAAGAGUUGUAUGAGAGUGGGGAGGGAAGGGGGAGGUGGAGAGAUGGGGAUUGGGCUGGGAUGGGAUGGAGUGAGCUGCCCAGGCAGGGAAACUAGCACUAUACAGACCUGAACAAUGAAGAUGGCACAUUUUGUUCAGGGAAUGGUGAAUUAAGUGUGGCAGAAAUGCUUUGUAGAGAAAGUAAUUUGCUUGUAUGGAAUUUUGCCCAAGAGACCUCAUUACAGUUUCUAAUUUUUUGAUGUUAUCAUGCAUCACUGCCCUUGUCAGACAGUAUCAUGAUCACAAUAACAUCAAGCAUAAUAUUUCAUUGAUUCUCACAAAAACAGGUGGGUGCCACAGUUAUCCCCAUUAUAUGCACAAAAUGAUGAAGACUUGGGGUUAAUGAGCGAUUUGCCCAAGCUCACCUGAAUAUUAGGACUGAGUCAAAUGUUAGUCUGGUCUGACUUUAAUGCUUGCCUUGUUCAUGAGCACCAUGCAUUGCCUCUCCUAUUAAGUUAAGCAGGUAGACAGGUGAGAGAAGAGCCCGUGUGAUAUCGGGGGAAAUUCACCCCUGAUAUUUCAUGUAGGUUCUUUUCUAUUUUCCCUGAGUGUCAGCCGGUCUGAGAAAUAAAGGGAAAGAGUACGAAAGAGAGAAAUUUUAAAGCUGGGUGUCCAGGGGAGACAUCACACGUCGGCAGGUUCUGUGAUGCCCCCCAAGCCGCAAAACCAACAAGUUUUUAUUAGUGAUUUUCAAAAGGGGAGGGAGUGUACGAAUAGGGUGUGGGUCACAGAGAUCACAUGCUUCACAAGGUAAUAAAAUAUCACAAGGCAAAUGGAGGCAGGGCAAGAUCACAGGACCACAGGACCGGGACGAAAUUAAAAUUGCUAAUGAAGUUUCGGGCACGCAUUGUCAUUGAUAACAUCUUAUCAGGAGAAAGGGUUUGAGAGCAGACAACCCAUCUGACCAAAAUUUAUUAGGCGGGAAUUUCCUUGUCCUGAUAAGCCUAGGAGCGCCAAGCGAACCCAGGGCUUAUUUCAUCCCUUAUCUACGACUGUAAAAGACAGCCGUCCCCAAAGCAGCCAUUUCAGAGGCCUCCCCUUAGGGAUGCAUUCUCUUUCUCAGGGAUGUUCUUUGCUGAGAAAAAGAAUUCAGCAAUAUUUCUCCUAUUUGCUUUUGAAAGAAGAGAAAUAUGGCUCUGUUCCACCCGGCCCACAGGCAGCCAGAGUUUAAGGUUAUCUCCCUUGUUCCCUGAAAUUGCUGUUAUCCUGUUCUUUUUUCAAGGUGCCCAGGUUUCAUAUUGUUUAAACAACUUGUGCAGUUAACGCAAUUAUCACAGGGUCCUGCGGGGACAUUCAUCCUCAGCUUAUGAAGAUGACCGGAUUAAGAGAUUAAAGUAAAGACAGGCAUAGGAAAUCACAAGGGUAUUGAUUGGGGAAGUGAUAAGUGUCCAUGAAAUCUUCAGAAUUUAUGUUCAGAGAUUGCAGUAAAGACAGGCCUAAGAAAUUAUAGAAGUAUUAAUUUGGGGAACUAAUAAAUGUCCAUGAAAUCUUCACAA